CGGAGAUUUUGGAGGCUAGUCAAGUAAUCAUACAAGAGGGGGAAAUUAGGGUUCUGAAUGGAAAAUAAAUUAGGGUUAAUUGUGAGAAAUUAAGGAGACGAGAGUGAGAAUGUGAAUUUGAGAGAGAGUGGGGGAGCGACUGUAAGGGUAUAGGCAAACAGGUCAUAAGGCAGGACGUGGUAGAGAAAAACGGUCUGGCGGGAUAGGGAUGAAAUUGUAGGGAUUGUGCA
rnacentral:misc_RNA from 1 species